rnacentral:rRNA from 1 species
CGCCAGCAGCCGCGGUAAUACGUAGGGUCCGAGCGUUGUCCGGAAUUAUUGGGCGUAAAGAGCAUGUAGGUGGUAACUCAAGUCAUAUUUUAAAGGUCAAGGCUUAACUUUGAUUUUGGAUUUGAAACUAGGUUACUUAUGAGUUUAGUAGGGGCAAGCGGAACUCCCGGUGUAGCAGUGAAAUGCGUUGAUAUCGGGAAGAACACCAAUGGCGAAGGCAGCUUGCUAGGCUAAACUGACACUGAGAUGCGAAAGCGUGGGGAGCGAACGGGAUUAGAUACCCCGGUAGUCCACGCCGUAAACGAUGCAGACUAGCUAUCAGAAGUAUCGACCCUUCUUGUAGCGAAGCUAACGCGUUAAGUCUGCCGCCUGGGAAGUACGGCCGCAAGGCUAAAACUUAAAGGAAUUGGCGGGGGA